rnacentral:rRNA from 1 species
CCUACGGGCGGCAGCAGUGGGGAAUAUUGCACAAUGGGGGAAACCCUGCUGCAGCGACGCCGCGUGAGUGAAGAAGUAUUUCGGUAUGUAAAGCUCUAUCAGCAGGGAAGAAAAUGACGGUACCUGACCAAGAAGCCCCGGCUAACUACGUGCCAGCAGCCGCGGUAAUACGUAGGGGGCAAGCGUUAUCCGGAUUUACUGGGUGUAAAGGGAGCGUAGACGGCAGCGCAAGUCUGAAGUGAAAUGCCGGGGCUUAACCCCGGAACUGCUUUGGAAACUGUGCAGCUAGAGUGCAGGAGGGGUAAGUGGAAUUCCUAGUGUAGCGGUGAAAUGCGUAGAUAUUAGGAGGAACACCAGUGGCGAAGGCGGAUUACUGGACUGUAACUGACGUUGAGGCUCGAAAGCGUGGGGAGCAAACAGGAUUAGAUACCCCUGUAGUC